rnacentral:misc_RNA from 1 species
UUGUAUCAGUGAAUUAAGAGAAAAAGCCCUUCGGAGCAUUCCGAAGGGCUUUUUCUCUUAAUUCACUGAUAUUU